UUCAAUAAUUGUUUUUCAAAGUUUUCACUUGCACAGAUCUAAUUUCGUUUCACGUGGAUAAUAUCUGGCAGAUAUAGUCAAACGAAUGAACGUGAAAACGACGGGAAAAAUCCUCGAAACAACCAUGGCGUUUCAUCACGUUUCCUUAUUCAAGCAUCCUAACGUGUUUUUUUACCGAAGUCUUUUUGAGUAUAUUUAUAUAUUAUUGUUUUAUUCAAGUAUUCGAUUAAAUUAUACAGGUUUU